CUUGGCUGAUUCUUCGUUUACAAUGUUUUAGGAGUUGAUGUGGUUGUGUCAGAAAUAUGAAACAGUGAGAAGAACUAACUCUGCAAGACUGACAGUGAUCCCAGAAAAUGGCCAAUGUGUUAUUUCAUCAUCAAUUCACCGAAAGGCCAGGGCCAGUGUGGUUUUUAAGUGGAUAAAAGAACUAUAUGCUUCAUAACUGACAACAGCAACAUUUGAAGCUGCCUGGAACUGGUGCUGCUCCCAGAGGUUUUGAGGGGUAAGUUAAGUUUAUACGUAUUUAUAUAACAAAUGAGUGAGUCACAUUUUUCAAAGGGGCCUCAGUGUAGUGCAAAGUCCUAAUCCUGCAAAGAUUUACGUUCACUGAAAUUUGUGGGAUUAUUCAAGUGUUUAAAGCCCUGUCCUCUGAGAAUUUAUUUCACCCUUAUGUUCAUAGUGUUUAAAAAAAUGCUCAGGGCAAGAUCCUCAGCUAACAUGACUCUUUUAUUGGAGCUCUGUUGAUUUUAAACAACUGUGGAUAUGGUCUGUGAGUUAACACAAUAGGAAAAUAAAUAUUUUCAUAUUUUGUAAGUGACUAGGGCUAAAAUUUCCUGCCAAUUUUGGCAGAUAGUUGAAAAAGAAAGUGAAACUGAAUAGUCAAGUCAAAUUUCUACCAUUGUAAUUGCCUGGGAAUUUGCUAGUAUUUUUCAAACAGAGAUUUUUCAAGCAGGCAAUUACAUCACGCUAAAUAAGGGAAGUAAAUCUUUGUAUGCCUGUUUGGGGGGAGGAGGGGGCAGGGAGGAGAGAGAGGUGACAGUGUGCACAUUAGAGGAAGAGAGGUUUUCUGUAGCACUUUAGAGGCUGAUCCUUUCCUCUUCCUCACUCCCGAGAUUGAAGAAUGACCUUCAUUUCCUCAAGGGUCGGUGGUAUCCCAGCCUGGAGAACCCUCUCCCUGUGCAUUAACCACAUGCCUGCCUUUCAGCCCUCCAGAACAGAAAGUCUGAUUUAAGUCUUGGAUUGAUGCCCUCGUCCAGACUCUGCUGGGCUGCAGAAGAGAUAAGUGCCCUCAGCUGCUCCCGGCCAUCCCGCAGGUUUCCCAGUGGAGCAGUCUGCAUGAGCACUUCCUAAUCUGCUCCAGGCAAAAUCAUCCAAGUUAGCUCAAAGAAUUUAAAUUGUUUGUCUGAGGUAUCCUGGCUGGGUCUUUUGCCUGAAGCAAAUGAAGGAGCACUUACACAGCCUGUACCUGGUCGGUCCAUACGGGGGUAAUCUGUUCUCCUGGCACAGCCAGAGACAGCCCCUGUCCGUGGCUUUUAGGCUGUCUGGGCAGAGAGGCAGCAGACCCUGGUAGAGCUGACAUGGCUUAAUGUGAGACAUGCAGGGUCUGCUGUCAGUGUAGUUUAAACUCUGUUCCCAAGGGGCAUUGGUUGUACUGGCAUAAAAGCUUUUUCAGAUACUACUCUUAUCAAUAUUAUUUUCAUUCUCUUCACCAAGGAAAACUUUCCAGCAGAUCAAAGACCAAAUCUGAGUUUCUUCCAUUUCUCUUAAAAAUAUUUUAAGACUACUUGUAGAUGCAGCAUUAGGAGAAGUUCCUUAAAUUGAGGGACAAGUACAUUUUCACUGUGUAGUUAAAGAGAUGAUGCUUAAAAGGCAAAAAGAGGCAAAAAGCCUCAUCGCUUCCCUGGUGUUUCAUCCCAAUGUUGCAGCUUCACCCCUUUCUGCAACAAAGAACAAGUUGAGGAAUUCUCACCUUUUUUUCCACAGCUCAUGUAAACAGCCUCACUCCGUGCUUCUCUUUUUGCGUACCUUAUCUGUCCAUUUCCACCCCCACCUCCACUCCCCUUUGGGGCUGCACUGUCAAAAGCCUAUUCCCAGCCUGUAUCGCUUUUUAUUGAAUGUUUGUGAGGUUUGGAUUAAGGUCUUACACUGCUAGCAAAGCUGUAAUUAUUUUUGCCUGUAUUACUAUAUAUUGAAUCGAUGUAACUUUUCAAUAAAGGUGGUUCAAUGCAGGACACUCCCUGAUGAGUUGGGAAUAUAGAAACCACAGUCAUUAUCCCAGAGGGUUGUUUUUUCUUUCUUGGAGGGAAAUGGAAAAAGAAUUAGAGAUGAGCCUUAUUGUAUUAACCUUGACAGCUUGCAAUUAUCAACUGAAACACUUGAUUAAAAUUGUCACAAGGUUGGAGAAUUUUUUUAUAAAUAAAUAAUCAAACAUGGAUAGUACCCAGAUGCUAUGGUGAUAGGCACCUUUAAUGGGUGUAAUUAAUAAUGAUCAUAAGCCUAGUGUAUACGAGUGGCUCCUGAAAAUGCUGUCUUCCUUUGUCGUGGAAAGAACUCAGCAUGCAAUUCACACAGGCAUUUGGGAAGAACUGGAAAGGGGCUCGGUGCUGUGUUAACGUACGCACCUACACGUGUGCACACCCUGAUCUAGCUCUUUGGACGUCUGCUGCUUUGUUGGGGCCUACAUUAUGCCCUGUUUUACAGGCUGUGCUUUUUAGGUGGGUGUUGAGCAUUUUCAGUCAUUGUGUGUUGCCCUCUCAUUUGGGUGUUUGACUCAGGUUUCCUCUCUUGCCACUAAGCUCCCAGCAAACCCAAAUCUUGUGGUUCUGCAGCUCACUGACGAGGUGAACGAAGCGCUGCAGUGCUGCUGUGAUGAGCAUCUUAAACGGCUGUUCCUGUCCUGCAAUGCCAGAAACAUCUCUGUGCAUGAGCUGUCCUGUACAUAAAGGUAGGUUUGUACAUGGCAAGCCACCGAGCUGCUGGUACUAGAGCUAGCAGUCGUGUCAUUCAUUUUGAGCUCAUAAAAGAUGCAGCUGCUAGGUGCAGGCUUCACCUUACUGAGAUCUUUGACUCCCAUCGUGGCUACAACCAGAAUAUGUGUAGUUUCACUUAUAAUAUUAAGGCCAGGGAGAAGUUUGUAAAACAAUGCACCGUUUUACGAUGGAGUAAUCAGCUGAAAAGGCUAGAGAAAAGAAAAGACUUCCAGAGGAAAACAGCUGACUCACUUAAGCAGAAAACAUCAGUGGCUUGGAUGAUGGGCACCACCAUCCUUUACAGCAGACUAAGUGAAAUAAACUGUAGCAUCUGUGAAGGACCUGGGAGGAUAGUUCUAGCUAAGAUACUAGAAAGUAAUAACGAAAUACUUGUUUUUUCUUUUUAUAUUUUCCUCCAUAAGAAAUUAACUUUUUUUUUCUUUUAGCAAAAAUCUGUGUCUGGAUGGAAGAUUUGCAUUCAGCCACAUGCAAGGAGAUGAUUGCACAGGCAAGUAAAAUAUUUUUAAAUACGGGUUUUUUUCUGCUUUAGAAGAUAAGCAGGUUAAACCAUAUUUUAUGGUUUUUAAUAUGUUUUUUUAAAAAUAUAGACAAAGCUUUUGCCAGUUAGAGAUGGAGAAGCUAACUCGGCCUCAGCUAUUGAGUUAUACUGCAGUAGUUACAGAUCUCUGCAUUGUGCUAAGUUGUACAUGUGCAAAAGGCUGCCUGAACACUUAUUUUAAUUUAGUUCCAUUUAAUUAGGAACAGCCUUAAAAAUCAAAAUACGUGUUUGCAAAGUGAUAUGCAUUAGCUUAAUUAUUAAAGAGCACAGGAAUGUGUAGCCCCUCUGCAGUUACAUAUGUUUCCAGAUGGACUAGAAAGUGGCUAAGUUUUUGCCUGUGAAGGAGAAAUAAGCAUUAAAUCUUACCCACAGUCCUCUUUUUUUUUUUUUUGUGACAUAUAAUAGGCCUGAAUAUGUCUUUCCAUAAAUAAAAUAGGUGCAGAUUUUUAUGGUCUCCCAUGAAAAAUGGAGCUCUUGUCUCACUUGAGUAAGUUUGUGACAUAUGAUGAGCUACCAAAAUUAACAUCCCAUCAAAUGAAAGAUAAGUAAAUAAUAGGAACAGGAGGGAUUUUUUAGCUAAGUGUUAACAAGAAAUGUAAAUAUCUCAAGGUUUUCUUUGUUUAGAGGCAGUCUGUGCACCAUACAUCUCUGCCAAUAAACUGGGGAGAAAAAUGUACUUGAUCCUUCCUAUAUAUCAAAUUUAAUCAGAUGACAGAUAGAUAUUUUCUGUAUAUAUUGACAUCAUGGGUGUAUCAUUUACAGCCUUUGGUAUACUUAGAGCACUGGCUACGCUCUGGAAUUAUUCUGGUUCAGACAGAAGCAUAUUGCUGAACAUUCCUAGUUAUUUUUACCUGGUC